GCGUCCAACACUGAAGCGGUUCAUCCACCCCAAACGUCUUUGCAUAAAUUACAGCAAUUCCUUAAAGUGCAAUCAAGUCGUAUCGUACACGGCGACAACUACAACGCAGAAAAAGGUGUCUUACACAGAAAAGUACACGGAUCAGUGCGGGGACAUUUGGAAAUGGUUUUCUUGUGAAAAAGAAAGGACAAAGUACAAGUACGAGACUGUAAAUAAAGACGUCACAAGGUACAGGAUUCAAUGCAGAGACUGCAACAUUGACUGCCGAGUCAGCCUGUGGACGGCUUGGAAAUGCACAACCUGUUGCGCUGAUAUCAAAGAAGAAAGAACACGCACCGUGACCGUUGCUAAGAACGGCAACGGUGCGAACUGUCCGAGCCUAAAAGAGACG